rnacentral:rRNA from 1 species
GUUUGAUCCUGGCUCAGAUUGAACGCUGGCGGAAUGCUUUACACAUGCAAGUCGAACGGCAGCACGGGGCAACCUGGUGGCGAGUGGCGAACGGGUGAGUAAUACAUCGGAACGUGCCCAAUCGUGGGGGAUAACGUAGCGAAAGUUACGCUAAUACCGCAUACGAUCUACGGAUGAAAGCGGGGGAUCGCAAGACCUCGCGCGAAUGGAGCGGCCGAUGUCAGAUUAGGUAGUUGGUGGGGUAAAGGCUCACCAAGCCAACGAUCUGUAGCUGGUCUGAGAGGACGACCAGCCACACUGGAACUGAGACACGGUCCAGACUCCUACGGGAGGCAGCAGUGGGGAAUUUUGGACAAUGGGCGCAAGCCUGAUCCAGCCAUUCCGCGUGCAGGAUGAAGGCCUUCGGGUUGUAAACUGCUUUUGUACGGAACGAAACGGCGAGCUCUAAUACAGUUUGCUAAUGACGGUACCGUAAGAAUAAGCACCGGCUAACUACGUG